UUCCGGCGGCUCCGCGGUACUUUGCGCGGCUGACCUCCGGGGCCACCCGCGAAUACUUCAGCCAUUAGCAGUGUUCUGUGCCACACAGCAAAAGCAGUGAAUGUGCAAAAUCCCCUUCGCAGGAAAACGUCCUUCAGCCCUCUCCCUCGGGGUCCUGCCUGCGAGAUCUAGGUCAGCACCACCCCACAUCCUGGCUCCUUCCUUGGAGAGGAUGUCACUGCGGGGACUGUCCACCCAGCAGAAGAACCUCCCUGACCACUCCGAAGUCUUGCUUGAGCUGCAGCGCCCCCUGCAGGCUAGAUGUCCAGCACCAGGAAGAAAGAAAAAUUACCAGGACACAAUCGAAGUCUCCAAUAUCGACCCCUCGGCAUGUGGAGCUUGAAGCCUUGUGUGGCUUGUUUAUGGCAUUCUUGGACAAACAGACCCAGUGAUUCUUUGGGCAGGAGCUGUAUGGGGAGGAAGAAAGUAAGAAUGGCUAGUCUAUUAGACUGGGAAUGGUGUUUCUCUCUCUGAGGUCUCAGUGUGGGCAUCUGUAAAACCCUGAUGCCUCACUGUGGGAGCAUGGGCAUUUUCUAAGGAGGUCUGGACCUAAACCAUGCACAGUAGCUAGGAUUAGAGGUUUCCUUAGUAAUCAAAGGCACAUGACAAGUCAGGCAUGUUGGGCAUGCGGCUAGACUCCCAGCAUUUGGAAAGUAGAAUCAGAGUAUUAGAAGCUCAAUGGCCAGGGGGCUGGAGAGAUGGCUCAGUGACUGACUGAAUGCUCCUCUAGAGUCUUGAGUUCAAUUCCUAGAAACCACAUGGUGGAUUAUAACCAUCUGUAAUGAAAUCCAAUGCCCUCUUCUGAUGUGUCUGAAGACUGCUACAGUGUACUCGAAUAUAUAAAUCUUUUUUU
rnacentral:lncRNA from 1 species